rnacentral:tRNA from 1 species
GGGGUCUUAGCUCAGCUGGGAGAGCGCCUGCUUUGCAAGCAGGAGGUCAUCGGUUCGAUCCCGAUAGGCUCCACCA